rnacentral:lncRNA from 1 species
UGGGUGAAUACUUCUGAUACCCACUGUAUGAGGGGUAACUUUUACUUUUGUGUUUUUAUAUAAGAUGAUUUAAUACCUGAAAUAUAUUAUUAUUUUAAAAGUUAUGUUUUUAAAGCGUAGUGAGUGACUAUGAACCGUGAGUAGUAGUAGUAGAAGAGACCAGGUUUGAUGUGGAGAUGGCUCUGGUCCAGGGUGUUACGUGUGGCAGGUUCAGCUUCAGCCAAGUCACACGUAACACCCUGGACCAGAGCUAGUGUGGAGGCAGAUGUGUGUGUGUGUUUAUAGGAGCAGUAUAGGGAGGAUCCCUGGUGUAGUUGGAUAUGGGACAGACAGACAGACAGACAGACAGACAGACAGACAGACAGACAGACAGACAGACGUAGUUGGAUAUGGGACAGACAGACAGACAGACAGACAGACAGACAGACAGACAGACAGACAGACGUAGUUGGAUAUGGGACCGACAGACAGACAGACAGACAGACAGACAGACAGACAGACAGACAGACAGACGUAGUUGGAUAUGGGACAGACAGACAGACAGACAGACAGACAGACAGACAACAGACAGACAGACAGACAGACAGACAGACAGACAGACAGACAGACAGACAGACAGACAGACGUAGUUGGAUAUGGGACCGAAGACAGACAGACAGACAGACAGACAGACAGACAGACAGACGUAGUUGGAUAUGGGACAGACAGACAGACAGACAGACAGACAGACAGACGUAGUUGGAUAUGGGACAGACAGACAGACAGACAGACAGACAGACAGACAGACACUGGUGUAGUUGGAUAUGAGACAGACAGACAGACAGACAGACAGACAGACAGACAGACGUAGUCGGAUUUGAGACAGACUUAGUUGGAUAUGAGACAGACAGACAGACAGACAGACGUAGUUGGAUAUGGGACAGACAGACAGACAGACAGACAGACAGACAGACAGACAGACAGACAGACAGACAGACACUGGUGUAGUUGGAUAUCAGACAGACAGACAGACAGACAGACAGACGUAGUUGGAUAUCAGACAGACAGACAGACAGACAGACAGACAGACAGACAGACGUAGUUGGAUAUCAGACAGACAGACAGACAGACAGACAGACAGACAGACAGACAGACAGACAGACAGACGUAGUUGGAUAUCAGACAGACAGACAGACAGACACAGACAGACAGACAGACAGACAGACAGACUUGGAUAUGGGACAGACAGACAGACAGACAGACAGACAGACAGACAGACAGACAGACAGACAGACAGACGUAGUUGGAUAUCAGACAGACAGACAGACAGACAGACAGACAGACAGACAGACAGACAGACGUAGUUGGAUAUCAGACAGACAGACAGACAGACAGACAGACACUGGUGUAGUUGGAUAUCAGACAGACAGACAGACAGACAGACUGGAGUAGUUGGAUAUUUGGACACUAGGCUAACACCCUCCAUGUGAUUGUCUGAAAUGACACCCUAUUCCCUACAUAGUGCAGAGUUCUCCGGUCAAAAGUAGUGCACUAUCCCAUAGGGCUCCGGUCAAAAGUAGUGCACUAUCCCAUAGGGCUCCGGUCAAAAGUAGUGCACUAUCCCAUAGGGCUCUGGUCAAAAGUAGCGCACUAUGUAGGGAAUAGCAUGCUGUUUCAGACACCGCCUGUCUGUCUGUGGAGUGUAAAGAUGUGUUGUUGAUUCUAAUCACAAUCUUUUUGUAAAUUGCAUCAAAAUGGUUUAAAAGCCUCCAUCGGGUUUAAGUUACUGUACAACUGGAAGAUGAUUGGCUGAUGUUUUAAUGAUCCUCUCAGGUGGUCACUGCUUUGAUUGGACGGGAUGAAAUGGUGCUCUGUGAAUGGCUGUUAUGUUGAUGGGGGGCGGGUCUGACCUGUUCUCUCUCUCUGUUUCUAUUGGUCACAUUACUGAUCCGUCUGUCUGUAAAUACAGCUACUGUCUCGAAAGGCAUCCUUUUGGUCGUUACUAGUUAAUACAGCCACAAAGUCAUACUUAUGGCUAAACCCCGCCUAUUUCUAAAAUGUUUAUUCUUAAAAUCAGAUUUUAAACCUAACCCUAACCACAAUGAUAACCUAAUGCCUAACCUUAUUAAAUGAAGUCCAAAAAGCACAUGUUUGUUUUCAUGAAUUUUUUACGAUAUAGCCAAUGCCCUGACUUUGUGGCUGUGAUACAGACAGGAAGUACACUAAACUACAGGAAGUGCUAGGUCACAUGACGGAACAAUUCCAGAAUGAAGUGCAGGUUCUAGAACCAUCCAUGUAGCUAAUGAUUGUGCCUUCUGUUUUACCGUCAUUACGUCCCUAAUGGCACCGGUAGUCCCUAUGUAGUGCACUAGUUUUGGCCAGUCCACUUUCCAUAGGCCCUUGCGAUAGACUGGUGUCCUAUUUAGGGGGUGUACUUGUACAUCAAGCUGCCUCACACUACAGAAACAGGAGAAACAGAGCGAACCUUUUUGGCUCUGACGAUGCUUACUUACUAUACAGGUAAUAUUGGGUCAUUUGAGACACAUACUGUGUGAUAGUGGAUGGGGACGGUUCUACUGUGUGGUAGUGGAUGGGGUCGGUUCUACUGUGUGAUAGUGGAUGGGGUCGUUUCUACUGUGUGAUAGUGGAUGGGGACGGUUCUACUGUGUGAUAGUGGAUGGGGUCGUUCUACUGUGUGGUAGUGGAUGGGGACGGUUCUACUGUGUGGUAGUGGAUGGGGUCGUUCUACUGUGUGGUAGUGGAUGGGGACGUUCUACUGUGUGAUAGUGGAUGGGGACGGUUCUACUGUGUGAUAGUGGAUGGGGUCGUUCUACUGUGUGAUAGUGGAUGGGGUCGUUCUACUGUGUGGUAGUGGAUGGGGUCGUUCUACUGUGUGAUAGUGGAUGGGGACGUUCUACUGUGUGGUAGUGGAUGGGGUCAUUCUACUGUGUGAUAGUGGAUGGGGACGUUCUACUGUGUGAUAGUGGAUGGGGUCGUUCUACUGUGUGAUAGUGGAUGGGGACGUUCUACUGUGUGGUAGUGGAUGGGGUCGUUCUACUGUGUGAUAGUGGAUGGGGACGUUCUACUGUGUGAUAGUGGAUGGGGUCGUUCUACUGUGUGAUAGUGGAUGGGGACGUUCUACUGUGUGGUAGUGGAUGGGGUCGUUCUACUGUGUGGUAGUGGAUGGGGUCGUUCUACUGUGUGGUAGUGGAUGGGGACGUUCUACUGUGUGAUAGUGGAUGGGGUCGUUCUACUGUGUGAUAGUGGAUGGGUUCGUUCUACUGUGUGGUAGUGGAUGGGGUCGUUCUACUGUGUGGUAGCGGAUGGGGUCGUUCUACUGUGUGGUAGCGGAUGGGGACGUUCUACUGUGUGGUAGCGGAUGGGGUCGUUCUACUGUGUGAUAGUGGAUGGGGACGUUCUACUGUGUGAUAGUGGAUGGGGUCGUUCUACUGUGUGAUAGUGGAUGGGGUCGUUCUACUGUGUGGUAGUGGAUGGGGACGUUCUACUGUGUGAUAGUGGAUGGGGUCGUUCUACUGUGUGAUAGUGGAUGGGGACGGUUCUACUGUGUGAUAGUGGAUGGGGUCGUUCUACUGUGUGAUAGUGGAUGGGGUCGUUCUACUGUGUGAUAGUGGAUGGGGUCGUUCUACUGUGUGGUAGUGGAUGGGGUCGUUCUACUGUGUGAUAGUGGAUGGGGUGGUGAUCUGAUCCUCUGUCUGUCUGUCUGCGUACCGAUCUGUCUGUGGUGAUCUGAUCCUCUGUCUGUCUGCGUACCGAUCUGUCUGUGUGUUUUUGGGUUAAACUCGUCAGGUUCAUUGGUGUAUCUAGUCAGUCAGAACCUACCAAUUAGAAUCACUGAGGUCACUAGAGAUCAGCCAAACUGAAAUGUUGUGUAGAGUGGAAGGUAAGCAUGUGUACUACAUCAUACACAACAUGUGUACUACAUCAUACACAACAUGUGUACUACAUCAUACACAACAUGUGUACUACAUCAUACACAACAUGUGUACUACAUCAUACACAACAUGUGUAGAGUGGAAGGUGAGCAUUUGUACUACAUCAUACACAACAUGUGUACUACAUCAUACACAACAUGUGUACUACAUCAUACACGACAUGUGUAGAGUGGAAGGUGAACAUGUGUACUACAUCAUACACAACAUGUGUACUACAUCAUACACAACAUGUGUACUACAUCAUCAUACCUCUGCCUUUUACAUCUGUAAACAGGAAGUGAUAUCAGCAGCAUUUAAACAGUACUGUCCUUCAUUUCAGGUCUUCAGUCAUUUCAGAACAAGAACAACGAAGAUGAACAGUGAAAAACAGCCUGAACGUUAUUAUCUGAAGGCCAAACUAGCUUUUUAGCGGCAGGAAUAUUCUUAGAUACUUUGCCGUAACGGGGGGAAAUAAAAACCUAAAAUGCAUUUAAACUGAACAAUAAAAAUGAGUAAAUCAUACCUCUGCAUUUUUACGUCUGACCCUAAGAAAUCUCUGUUUCAACUAGAAUUGUAAGGGGGGGGUGUAGUGGUGUAAUGUAUUGUGAAGUGUGUGUACACUGAGUAUACAAAACAUUAAGAACACCUGCUCUUUCCAUGACAGACUGACCAGGUGAAUCCAGGUGAAAGCUAUGAUCCCUUUUUGAUGUCACCUGUUAAAUCCACUUCAAUCAGUGUAGAUGAAGGGGAGGAGACGAGUUAAAGAAGGGUUUUAAUCCAUGAGACAAUUGAGACAUGGAUUGUGUAUGUGUGACCAUUCAGAGGGUGAAUGGGCAAGACAAAAUAUUGAAGUGCCUUUAAACGGGGUAAUGGUAGUAGGUGCUAGGCGGUUUGUGUCAAGAACUGCAACACUGCUGGGUUUUUUACCCUCAACAGUUUCCUGUGUGUAUCAAGAAUGGUCCACCACCCAAAGGACAUCCAGCCAACUUGAUACAACUGUGGGGAAGCAUUGGAGUCAACAUGGACCAGCAUCCCUGUGGAAACGCUUUCGACACCUUGUCGAGUCCAUGACCCCGAUGAACUGAGGCUGUUCUGAGGGCAAAACGAUGGUGAAACUCAAUAUUAGGAAGGUGUUCUUAAUGUUUUGUACACUCUCAGUGUAGGUUAAUAUUGAACCUACUGGUUAUUUACCCACAAAUCACCAGGUCCUGGAAGGACAGCUUCUCCCUCCCUCUCAAGCUGUAGUGGUAGAGAACAUCAUUGGUAGCAAUUUUGCAGAGGACAGAAGUUUUUAUUUAUUAUAACCUUUAACUAGUAAUUGAUCUAAAAUGACAGACAAAAGUGAGUGUCAGUUUCCCCAUUAUCCUGAAUACUGUGAUUUACAACCGAUUGUUGUGGGAAGAUCUGGGAACAAAACUGAAUUGGUUCUCGAUUAAUUGUUUCCAGCUUCAUCAGGUUGUUUCGGAAACCGGAAAUAGUUUUAAGUCGAGUACAAAGGUUAUAGUUAAUAGUCCAAUUCAUUUCAAUGUUUUUCUAUACUUUAGUGAACAAUCAUCUCCCCAUAACAUCCUCACACCCUUGUCGAAAUAAAGCAAGAAAGUUGGCUGUGGUCUGUGAUUUAUCCAAGUUAUAUAGUGUCCGUGAUACUUUUACGCAGUAGGCCUUAACCUAACGACACACGGCGACUUGUAACAUUAAAGUUAUAAUCCUUAGUUGCCACAUCCAUUU